UCCCAUGUCAAUCUCAUCCAGCAACCCAAGCCCUCAAUCAACACAGCAUUCACCCACAACUACGAUGAGGACUAGUAAACUACUACUUGUGGCCAUGGCCCUUCUGCUAGUGAUAUCCUCAUCGGGAAUGGCGACCACCACUGAGAUGAUCUCUGGAUACGCGACGACCUCGAUCACCAGGAAAGGCCCAUGCAUCGCCAAGUCGUGCAUGACAUACUGCCAGGAAACGUACCAAGGGGAAGGCACAUGUUUCCCCCAUGGUUGCAAGUGUUCCUUUCGUAAAGAUAUUCCUCCAUUGAGGAAUUAGCUAGCUGCAGCACAUCUUUGUCUGCAGCUUUGUUCUUGCACGGCAUGGGCGUAUGCCUAUUGCAUGAAUAAGUAAAAAUUUUGCUUUUUUUAAA